CCCCUCUCAGGAUCACAGCUGGAGAGUUUCCAGUACUCUACCAGUCUCAGCUAUGGGAGGAAGAGUCAAGCAGAAGCCUAGCCAUUCCAUUACUAGCUUGGCCAGUGGCUAGCAAGAGAAAGACAAUCUGCUACAAGU
rfam:Ornithorhynchus anatinus chromosome 7, whole genome shotgun sequence.